rnacentral:rRNA from 1 species
UACGUAGGGGGCAAGCGUUGUCCGGAAUCAUUGGGCGUAAAGAGCGCGUAGGCGGCCCUGUAAGUCCGCUGUGAAAGUCAAAGGCUCAACCUUUGAAAGCCGGUGGAUACUGUGAGGCUAGAGUACGGAAGAGGCGAGUGGAAUUCCUGGUGUAGCGGUGGAAUGCGCAGAUAUCAGGAGGAACACCAAUAGCGAAGGCAGCUCGCUGGGACGUUACUGACACUGAGGCGCGAAAGCGUGGGGAGCGAACAGG